rnacentral:rRNA from 1 species
CCUACGGGGGGCAGCAGUGGGGAAUAUUGCGCAAUGGGGGGAACCCUGACGCAGCAACGCCGCGUGCAGGAAGAAGGUCUUCGGAUUGUAAACUGUUGUCGCAGGGGAAGAAGACAGUGACGGUACCCUGUGAGAAAGUCACGGCUAACUACGUGCCAGCAGCCGCGGUAAUACGGAGGAUGCGAGCGUUAUCCGGAUUUAUUGGGUUUAAAGGGUGCGCAGGCGGCCUGUUAAGUCAGCGGUAAAAGCCCGGGGCUCAACCCCGGCGAGCCGUUGAAACUGGCGGGCUGGAGUUGGAGAGAAGG